rnacentral:rRNA from 1 species
UUAUGGCUCAGGACGAACGCUGGCGGCGUGCUUCAUACAUGCAAAGUCGAACGAUAAGGUCUCUUCGGAGAUACAUAAGUGGCGGACGGGUGAGUAAAAUGUAGAGAAUCUGCCCUAGAGAUGGGGACAACAGUUGGAAACGGCUGCUAAUACCCAAUAUGAGCGUAGUUGAAAUACUAUUCUUGAAAACUCCGGUGCUCUGGGAUGAGUCUGCAUCUGAUUAGCUAGUUGGGGGUGUAAUGGACCACCAAGGCGACGAUCAGUAGCUGGUUUGAGAGGAUGAUCAGCCACAAUGGGACUGAGACACGGCCCAUACUCCUACGGGAGGCAGCAGUAGGGAAUUUUGCGCAAUGGGGGAAACCCUGACGCCAGCAACGCCGCGUGAAUGAAGAAGCCCUUCGGGGUGUAAAGUUCUGUCAGUAGGGAAGAACAAAUGACUGUACCUACAGAGGAAGCAUCGGCUAACUCCGUGCCAGCCGCCGC